rnacentral:rRNA from 1 species
GACGAACGCUGGCGGCGUGCUUAACACAUGCAAGUCGAACGAAAAGAGGGAAAGAGCUUGCUCUUUCCGGAAUUGAGUGGCAAACGGGUGAGUAACACGUAAACAACCUGCCUUCAGGAUGGGGACAACAGACGGAAACGACUGCUAAUACCGAAUAAGUUCCAAGAGCCGCAUGGCCCAUGGAAGAAAAGGUGGCCUCUACCUGUAAGCUAUCGCCUGAAGAGGGGUUUGCGUCUGAUUAGCUGGUUGGAGGGGUAACGGCCCACCAAGGCGACGAUCAGUAGCCGGUCUGAGAGGAUGAACGGCCACACUGGAACUGAGACACGGUCCAGACUCCUACGGGAGGCAGCAGUGGGGAAUCUUCCGCAAUGGGCGAAAGCCUGACGGAGCAACGCCGCGUGAGUGAUGACGGCUUCGGGUUGUAAAACUCUGUGAUCCGGGACGAAAAGGCAGAGUGCGAAGAACAAACUGCAUUGACGGUACCGGAAAAGCAAGCCACGGCUAA